GGUCAAGUUAUUAAGGGUGCAGGGCGGAUGCCUUGGCACUAGGAGCCGAUGAAGGACGUGAUAAGCUGCGAUAAGCUUCGGGGAGUUGCACGUAAACUUUGAUCCGAAGAUUUCCGAAUGAGGAAACUCACUUAGAGUAAUGUCUAAGUAUCAUUAAGUGAAUACAUAGCUUAAUGAGGGGAACUCAGGGAACUGAAACAUCUAAGUACCUGAAGGAAGAGAAAGAAAUUCGAUUCCGUAAGUAGCGGCGAGCGAACGCGGAUUAGCCCAAACCAAUAAAGUUUUCUUUAUUGGGGUUGCGGACAUAUCAUAACGAAGAGGUAUCGUAAUUGAAGAGGUUUGGAAAGACCCACCACAGAAGGUAAUAGUCCUGUAUGUUAAACGAGAAGACUUCAGAUAUGAUCCAGAGUACCACGGGACACGUGAAACCCUGUGGGAAGCAGGAGGGACCACCCUCCAAGGCUAAAUACUACCUAGUGACCGAUAGCGUAUAGUACCGUGAGGGAAAGGUGAAAAGAACCCCGGGAGGGGAGUGAAAUAGAACCUGAAACCCUGCACUUACAAGCUGUGGAAGCACAUUUCUUGUGUGACCGCGUACUUUUUGUAGAACGGGCCAACGAGUUACGUUAAGUAGCAAGGUUAAGCACUUAAGGUGCGGAGCCGUAGCGAAAGCGAGUUUUAACUGAGCGUUCAGUUACUUGACGUAGACCCGAAACCGGGCGACCUACCCAUGAGCAGGAUGAAGCGAAAGUAAAAUUUCGUGGAGGUCCGAACCCACGAGCGUUGAAAAGCUCGGGGAUGACUUGUGG
rnacentral:rRNA from 1 species